UUCUCACAAAAAUGUCAGGCUGGCCCUCUAGGAAGACUCCACCAAAAUGACAAUAUGUCAUGGUGCUUGCAUCACCUUUAUUCGGUAUGCUACGCAGCAUCAUGGGCAGCAGCCAGUGACCUUAUUUGCCAUUAUUCUUUUCCAUCCAUAGUAUCCACUCCAUCUACAGCCAAUCUUUCCUGAAGAGAAGCGAGGACUCACUAUGGUUUUUAUCUGUUUUUGCAAGAAAUCAAAUCAAAAUUUUAUUACGCUUAUUGGUGGGGUAAUUUUUAAAUCAGCUUUUGUACAUUGAAACUAAAGUCUGCACCAAUCAAGUCUUAAACAAUUAUUUAUAUAUGGAGGGAUGCUUUCACAAUAUUCAAAUCAAAAAUGAAAAGCCAAGCCCAUUUCUGUAAAAGACUUCUUGUGAUACCUGCACUACGUCAUGGUGACUCUCUACAAAGAGUCAACUAACACGGUUUCUAGAGUGGUCAUAGUGCAAGUCUAGUAUGUGGUUUGGUUUAACACAUCAAACUACAAUAACCCAUACUAGACAGUAAGAGAUACUCUAUGGUCUACUGCUUAUGCUUCUCUCUUUGAUAUUUGUUUUUGUUGGAGGAAAUAGCUAGCUAGCUUGGCAUGGAGAGGGAAGCAAAGAAGAGGAAGACGGAGUAUAUUGAAGAAGAAGAAAAGGGAAAGGAAGAUGAUGAUGAUGAAGAAGAAGAAGAGAAGAUGGAGAAGUUCUUUGCUUUGCUGAGAAGUACAAAACAAAUGCAUGAUCAAAUAAGAAGAAACUCAAAUAGAAUAUUUAAAGAGAAAGAGGAGAUCAGGAAAGUUGGAGAAGAGAAGGUUAGCGUGGCUUGGAAUCCAUCAUUUCAGCCAGAAGAUUUCUUGGAGGAUGGCAAGGAUAGUCAGGCAGCAGCCGGUCCUUCCAAGAGAAAGGAAGAAGAGAAAAAGGACGAGGGAGAAGAAGGCACUGGCUUGGACCUAAAGCUUUCUUUGUAGAGGGUAACUGCCUCCCCCACAACUCCCUUCUCUCUUCUUGCAUGUUGAGAAGCUUUUACAAUGAAAGGUCGACCACUACAAUAAGUAACAGCAAUACUGGCCAGCAUUUCCAUGAUGUGCUGAGUUUAUCGAAAACAUAUUAUGUAUCCUGACGUCUCUCUGGCUUGUUUGGGUCUAUAUGAGGUAAUUAAGAUUUUUUUUUUAAGUUGAUGUUAUUACACAAGUGAUGGGAUAACCUAGCUCAGCGGACACACCAAGUCAUGUAAACACUUGUUCGACGAGAACUCAUGCUGUAUUUUUUAAAUAGGUUUGAGACAGUUUAGGAGAAUAUACCUUCUUUCUCCAACAAGAACAAGAACAACAAAUCCUCGUUUCCAGAACACGGUCAACUUUUAAUCGAACUAGGUAAUUUUACAAGAACAGCAAAGCCUAGUUUCAGACAUAGUUGAGUUUUAGAUUCUUUUGACUAGGUAAUCGAACUUUAUUCUCUAUGAAUUUGGUCCUAAAAAAAUAUGUUGUCGCUAUCCUAUCCUAUCUUUUCUUUUUGUUUUUGGAUUGCAUGCUAUAACGGGUCCGAAGUGUCGGAGAUUAUUUUGGAGUUAAAAUGACAUGGUAAUUUUACAAAAAGAUUUUUUAGCUAUGCUGAAAAAAUUAAAAGAACAACGCCCUAAAAUUAACAUUGGCAAUAAGUGACAACCUGCUUUCCAUGUUCAUUGUGAGCGUAAAACUACACUUUCAUCUCUAAAUUUUUAAUUUAUUUAUAUUUGAUCCUUUUUUGUUUAGGAUUUCUUCUUUAUUUUUUUUAAUAUUUUAGUUCCUUGAUCUUAAGAAAUGAGAGAUAAAGUCAUAAAAAAUUUAAAAAAGCUCUGGCUAAAUUCCAACCACCAAUAACUUUAAUUUUGAUGUCUAUAGAUUAUGUUUUAAAAGAAAAAUUCAAUUGAGAUGAUUUCUAUAGAUUACUGGAAAAUAUUGAAAGAGAAUAAAAAAAUAUAUAUCAUUGAGAAGAAUAUACCAGAACAUCUAGGAGAUUUGAAAAAUUUAACAGUAUAUUUUCGAUUGAUGAAGGCUUUAUUGGCAAAGAAAAAUUCAAUUUAAGGAGAAAAAAAUCAAAAUUGAAUGUUUAAGGACUCAAUUGGAAUUUUUCAAGGUUCAAUUGAAUUUAUUGAGAGCUUAAUUGUAAGAAAAUUGAUUUUUGAAGUCAAUCUAGGCUUUAAUUAACAGAUAUUAAAGUUUAGGGGUUGGAUUGUAAUUUUUAAGAGUUAAUUUGAUCAAAUUAGGGCCUUAAUUGCAUAAAUAUUAAAGUUUAAUAGACAAUUAGGGACUUGAUUGAAGAAAUUUAAAUUCAAGGACCAAACUAAAAAGACACAUAAUGUAGGGGCUAAAUUGGACUAAAUCAGGGGCCAAAUAGAAAAAAUUAAAAGUUUGUUGGUUAGUUGAAGGUCAAAAUACAUAAAUUCAGAAGAUGGUUGGAAUACACAAAUUCAGAACUAAGGACUUAAAUGAAAAUAACGGUAAACUUUGAGGCUGAUAAUUGAGUUUAACAAGGGUGAAAUUGCAUGAAAUUAAAAGUCUUGAGGCAAUUACAAGUAAAAGCAAUUGGAAGAACAAAGACUUGAUUGAAUUUUGUCAAAUCCCAAAUAAAUAAUCCUAAAUAACGUGUCAUUCAAAUUUAAUGAAGUGAAGGUGAAUGACACGUCAUUCGUCAGUUUGCACCUUUAUUUUGAUAGUUUUGACUGAUUGAGUUAACAACUUCAAACGUAUUAAUAUGGAGUUUCAGGCAUUCAAAUUGAGUAAGGUUGGAUCCAAAUGAAAGAUAUUCUUCCCCUCUACGAGGAUUAGGUGGUUUCAGGCGACGAUGACAUCAGAAUUGCUCUAACGAGGCCUCGAAAGUAGGCAACUCAAUCAGCCCCAACAAUGUAACUAUCAUGCAAAAAACAAUUUGAUUUUUGUGUGUUUACAUGUUUACACACAAAAGCUCCUCAAUGGGUUCUUAUCAAGAGUUCACAACACUCAUCUCAAGAUCAAGAGGUCAUAAAUUGAUUCAAGACCUCUCAAAACCCUAAUAAAACCCUAUAAAUACCCAUUCAAGAUCAAGAAAAGGGACUAAAGAAAAGGAAAAGAAAAGAAGAGAUAAGAAAAAGAAGAGAAAUAUAAGGGUAGAGGUCCAAAAGUCUAAACAAAAGUUUAGACUAGUUGUAAGAGGCAAAAGUUUCCUUAAUCUUUAUAAGUUUGUAAGAGGCAAAAGUUUCUAAAAGAAAGCUAAGAGAGAGUAGUUGUUCUAGGUAUAUAUUGCAGGCCCAAAAACAGGUAUUUUAUGGCCUGCCUUUUUUUUUUUAUUAUUAUUUGUUUUGGUUUACAUUUAUAGUUACAAUCAUAGAAAAAAGGUUUAAACUGUUUAACAAAUGGUGUUGCAUUCACCUCUCUGUUGCUGUGAUUUCUAUUUAAUGAAGUUAUUUUAUAUUUUUGAUGUAUUAAAUUUGACUUUUAUGUUCUCUUUUUGAUAUAUAAAUGUUGUUUUAGCUUUGGUUUAACCUAAGCUAUACAUGUUAAAGUAAGAGUGUUUAUCCUUAGUUUGUUAAGCUUGUUUAUGCACAAAAUGAGUUUAAAAAAUCAAUUUUGAAUCCAUGUUGCAUGAACAUGUAGGUUGUUUGAGGUUAUUAGUUUUUGGAUUUGGUAUUUCAUACUUGAUUUUGAUGUUUUUUUCUGUUAGUUUUAGAUUCAAACAUGUUUGUGUAUGAUAUUGUGACUUGUUGGAAUAAAAAAAGCAUGUUUUAGAGGAAAAAAAGGCUCAUUUCUAGGCUUGACAAUGGCUACCUCAUGGUUGGGUUUUUUGUUGGGUUCUAGGCAAUGUUUUUCGUAUUAUUAAGAAGAACAUUGUCUUAAACCCUUGAUUUGGAUCAAAAUUUUGAUCCAUUUGUUUGUAGAGAAUCCUACCUUACGCAUGGUUAACCAAUAAUCUAGUAUUUAUUUGUAUUAACAACACAUUUAUAAUGAUUUUUAAUUUUAAGAUUUUGAUUUUGAACCAAAACCCAUUUUGACCAAAUCGUGAUGAUUUAAUCAUAAUUGAAGUGAAUGAACCUUUAAUUCUUGAUCCUUGAAUAAUUUACAACUUUUAUAUGCUUUUGAUUUUAUGAAAUCUGGUCUAAAUUUGAGUUCACGUUGUUGGGUUUGUUUCGAGUGUUCUUGGUGUUCUUCGUAUUCUUUAUUUUUUUUUGAUCCAUUUUGUUUAAGAAUUUUUGAAUUUUUAUGUUUUUUUGGGUGUUUAAUCUGUUUUUUUGCUUUAAUUUUAUUUUUGGGUUUUUUCUUCCGGGUCAAACUAGAAUUUUCUAUUCUGUUUAUGGGUGAAUAAAAAAUUUUAGGUCAACCCGGUCGGGUCGGGUAAAUAUUUUUUUUCUUGUAUAUGACUAAAAAUCCUAAAGUUAUUUAAGCAUUUUUUUUCUUAAAAACAUAUCUUAAAAUACCUUGACAUGUUUUUUUUUUAAAUAUUGGUUGGAUUUUAUAAUAAAUUUGUAAAAUUUCAAAGGAUUUUUAUCUACAUUUCAAAAAUACCAAAAAAUAUUAUUUUUUUAUUUUAAUAUGAGAGAUUAUGAACUUACAUGUAAGAUAUAUUUUUAAUAUUAAAUAAAAAAAUAAUUUUUUUUAUUGAUAUUAAAAUGGUUAGGUUUUUAAUUUGAUAAGAUAAGAAUUUUUUUAUUAGACUUUUUCUUAAAUCUUAAAUAUAUCAUCAAUUAAAAAAAACAAUUUUUCCAUAUUAAUAAAUAAUAUAAUUUAUCUCAAAUAAAACGUAUUAGGAGUGACCCGUUCUGUCAAAUUUGUGUUAGAGCGUGUUUGACAGUGUGGUUGCGGGUGCUUUUCAAAUAACUUAUCAUUGGAAAUUUGGAAGAACGUUGUGGAAGGCAAAUUGAGGUCCAGGCUUUACAGCUUCCAAAACAUACAAAUCAUAUUAAAUUUUAAUAUAAAAAAAAAAUUUCAAAUUUUUUGGGAUCGCAGCCGCAGCCGCGUCCCCAAACAAGCUCUUAAUAUGGAUGGUAUUGACUGUACUGAACGGUAGGCUGUAACUCUAUGGGCAGCAUCAUUGGAAAUUUGGAAGAACGUUGUGGAAGGCAAAUUGAGGUCCAGGCUUUACAGCUUGUCAAACCUUUCAUAAUAAAUUUAUUCCAGGCAAAGUAAAAAACUUUUCUUUAAACAUCUAGGAGGAGAAUUUUACCUUGCCAAGCUGCACAGUUGCCUCUAAUAAUUUAUGCCAUUUGCUUAAAGCAGCCUUUUUUUUUUUGUCGGGGCAGCCUUGCAUUCACCUCUAAUAAUUGAUGCCAUUUGCCUAAAGCAACUUUUUUAUUUUUAUUUUUUUGUGUGUUGGAGCAGCCAGGAUGAUGCUCAAUGUUUCUUAGAUACUUGUCUCAUCACAAGAUUAUCUGCUUAAAAAAUCAUGAUUCUCAUUCAUUAGCAUUCCCGAAGAUAAAAUCUUUUGAGGAUCGAAGUACUUAGCCACUCACAGGUACAGUUUCAGAUAUCAUAGAGCUCAACAGAUACAGCAAAGACAGUAAUCAAAGUUGACAGAAAAUUUUACAAGGAAAAAGAUCCUUGACUGAUGCAAUCCUAUGACGUAUAUGAUCAACCACUAGUUAAUAGCAACUUUGAAAGAAAGCAUCCUACUUGAUAACUUCGGUCACCUUCACCGGACGAAAUUAAAAGGCAUCGCAAACUCCAGCAGGUCUAUGUCCCCACUAGAAUGACAUAUUUUCUGUGAUUUUGUACCGGGUUUUAUAAAUAUACAACUAAAGUCACCCUGCAGUGAGAAGGCAGGGGCUGAUCAACCACUAAUAUAUAGUGUGUGUCAUAAAAGUUUGGUGAAACAGCACUUACAAAGCAAAUGGAGGAGGAAAGAAAAAACAAGCUGAGUACUUUUGCUUCAGAGUGGUAUUUUCAAGAUGCAUGGAACUUAAGAUGCAGUAGAGUUAGAGCAGUGUGUGUUAAAUACAAGGAUAGAUCAUCUCUUAAGAAGGAACUUCAUUGAGAACACUUAGUGAUAAGGUUCAGGAAUCCAAACUCUUCACAUUCAGGGUGCACACAGCUGAACUCUUGAGUUCUGUGCUGAAUGAAACUAGAGAACAAGGGAAUUGUGCGGGGUAUUUAUAUGCCCAAAUUAAGACACGCAUUGUGUUAGUUACUAGGGGGAGGAAAUGGUGUACCAUUUGCUUACGCUAUAUUGAAUUUUCUGACCAUGAUGAAACUACAUGAUGCAGAGUGGAGACACGUGUACAUUUCCAUAAAGUCCCCGAGAACCUUUAUUGUGAACGUGUCAAGCUAAACAUUGAUCUGGCUACUAAUGAGCUGAUUCUGAGUGAUGCACCUAAUGAAGCUAUUCUGGUAAAGAUUAAUAAUAAGAUUCCGGGACGUGGCUUGCAGUUGGAUGCUUCCGAACUCAAUUUGCUGUAUAAGGACAAGUAAGCACUUUCAUGUUACAAGACAUGUUCUAUUUAAAUUCACAUUUCCUAAAGUGAAGCCAAUUCAGCACCCUUGUUCUAUAAUUUGACAUCUGGCUUAUUCUUUAUUUUAAUUCCUUAGGUAUAAUGCGGAGGUGCCUGAUUCAUAUGAGCAUCUUCUUCUUGAUUUCAUUGAUGGAGACAACCAUCUCUUCAUGAGGAGCGAUGAGCUUGCUGCUGCAUGGAAUAUUCUAACUACAACUCUACAGGAGAUAGACGAGAAACGUACGACACCAGAACUCUCUGAAGAGGUAGAGGUCCAAUUGGACCAUAUUAUCUUUAUGCAAAAUAUCAGGUUCGGUUGGUUGGUAGACGACUGAAGCUUGUUGAAGGCUUCGAAUCUGAUGUUUGAGAACAACUACAUGCAUGAUAGGCAGUAUGAAAUAGUCAUUCCGUCUCCAGGACCACGUGAAAUAAAUAACUGUAUAUAUGCUUAGCGUGUAAAAUUACUCUGAUUUACUGAAAUGUUCAACUAACAUGUUCCCUGUUUGAUUUUCUGUUACCACAGUCCAGCUGCCUUAACUAGCAAAAUAAUGGCCUGCUGAGGGCGAUUGAAGCUUCUUAUCGGAGCUUCAAAUCACCAUAAAAUCACGGAGAAAAGCUUUGGAGAUCCCCAUCAAUUUCUUUUUCCUUACAAUUUCCAAAGUAAGAUUCAGUUCUAUGUUCUUGACAAACAAUGAACUUCAAUCACACGCUUCUGUAUCAUAUAAUAUCAUGACAUGCUCAACUGUCAGAACUUGAAUUGUGUUUUAGACAUUAACCGUGGAUACCAUGCUGUUGUGCAUCAGUAGCACAAUCUACUUUCCUGUCAAUAAAGUUGAAUGCCAGUGAUCAUGGAGCUCUGGAUUUGCCAGCCUAGCUUGGCCCAUAAUAAAGAUAUUUCUGUGAACACAGCUUAUCUAUUGAUGGAACUUGAUGUUUAAAAUUUCAGCAAGAAUAAUGUGAAUUCAGGGCCCACCUGAUAUCGAAGGUAUCUUAUUUGUGCAUUAAGUUUGGUUGACUCCACAGAAGACCUAGUUCACUGACUCUAGUUUAAACUUGGCUAAGGCUAGUUAGGUAGGUAUUAGUAUUACUACAUAAAUCCAAAGUUCCCCAUCCAUUGCCCAUGUGAAUGCAAAGCUCAGUCAUAGCGAUCCAACUCCCCUAUUUUGAAUCUAUUCAUGUCUGACAAUCUCCAUCCACUAUAAUGUCUUCAUCUUACAAAAGCAGUUGGAAGCUGCUUAUCAGGGAAGGUGUUGCUUUUACCCCACAACUCUCUGGUUGUUGAGCAGCUAACAGCAGGCAAGAUGAACCUCUUAGCUACCGCUAUGAAAUUAUUGAUGAAUUAUUUUUUAUUGGUAAUGUUCAAUGAUAACAGCGAUGGAUUUCUGUCGGCAAUUUCCAAUGUAAUUUCUUACAUGAAAAAUUCGGUCCGUAAUUAAAGAUGGAAUCUCCAACACAAUAAAAUAAAUUAAAAAAUAAAAUAAAUAAUAUGUCAAUGAUUCCAUUCUUAAUAUAACACGUCAUUAUUUUCCAAUGAAUUGACCGACAAUAUUUUUCAUUGCAAUAUUUUAUCGAUAAAUUUAAAAAUGUUAUAACCGACAUUAGCCCCAUUCUCCCCUUCUUUUCUUCUUCUUUUUCUUCUUGAACUACAAAUCAAAACAACAACCCCUCUCACCUAUUGUGCCAUAAAUCUAGGCCUUAUCAUUAUAAAUUCGGUCACCCAACACAUUGCAGUGCUAACAUCAUUGUCUUGUUACUAUUUUUUUCUAAAUAUUACCUACACCAAGUAAGUAAACCUAUCCAUUAAUGUUUUAAGAUAAUGUAUUAAUAUUUUUCUUUAGUAUUGCUUGUAUAUUUAAGUAUUUUACAACCUUUUCAUAUAGAAUUAAAAUUUGAUUUGUAUGUAAGAGUUUGUUUGUAAUUUGAGAAAAUUUGAAUUUGUUUGUAAUUUGAUGAAAUUUAUUUUGUAACUUUUGUGUAUUAUAAAUAACUAUCAUUUUUUGUCAAUUUUAUUGUUAUGUUGGAGAUUUUGGAGAAAUUAAUUUUUUAUGGAAUUGAUAAAAAUUAAAUUAUAAUAAUUUAGAUUGAAUAAGUUUGAAUUGAAAAAAUGAUAGAUAAUUAGUUGGGUACCAAUUAAUUAUUGUUAGUUGGAUUUAUUUAGUUAAUGACAUAUCAUUACAUUUUUAUACAAAAAUAAUAAUUGGUUAUUACAUUGUGAAUCAUUUUUAAUUACCAAAGUGGAAUUUUAAAUUAAUUGUUAUAUUAUUUAGAAAUAUUGUCAUCAUUAUUCUAUAUAGGUUUCCUAAGUAAUGGAUGAUCAUUCUUAGAUGUAUCAAGAUUCACAUCAAAAGUUGUAUAGGGAGGAUUAUUGUAAAGGGAUGAAGGGUUUUAUUAAUUUCACACUUUUAAAUUCGAAGAAUAUUAGUUAAAGUGAAAUUAGAUGUCUAUAUGUGGAGUGUAAAAAUAAAAUUUUCUGCCAAUUAGAUGUAGAGUUGAUGCAUCUUCUUAAAAAGGGUUUAUUGAGAAAUACUUAUGUUGGUUUGCACACAAAGAACCAUAUAUUCCUUACAAGACCAUGUUAAAAAUGAUUGUUGGCUCAACAUCUAGUUCUAACAAUAUACAUAAAGUUGUAUAUGAUAAUAGUAAUCGUUAUAAGAGUAUGGUGAUGUAUGUAAUAGAACUAAAUCAUAGUUAUUCAUGUGAAGGUUCACAUGUAGAUGAAGAACCAAAUAUAGAUGCAACUAGGUUUCUUGAAUUUCUAAAAGAUUCUGAUUAACCAUUAUGAGAUGGAUGCACAAAUCACAGUAAAUUAUCAAUCAUUGCACGAGUGUUUACCGUCAACUUUGAUUAUGUUAUGAGUGAGGCCGGUUAUGAUAGCAUGAUUAAAUGAGUAAAAAGCAUUUUACCUUAAGGAAAUAGGCUGAAAAGAACUUAUAUACUGCAAAAUUCAUGAUGAAAUCCUUUAGCACAGGAUACCAAAAAAUAGAUAUAUGCCAAAUUUAUACAUGUUGUACUAUGGUAAAGAUAUAAAUUUAACCGAGUGCAAAACCUGUGAGCAUGUUCUGUAUAAACCCAAUAUGAGUAGGGGAAGGACACUUGUUGCAUAUAAAAAAAUGAGACACUUCUCAAUCACUUCUAGGCUACAGAGGUUAUUUAUAUCUCCGAAUACAUCUAAGCAUAUGACAUGGUAUCAUUCACAUGAUGCGAAGGGUGGAGUCAUGGUGCACCCUUGUAAUGAUGAAGCUUGUAAACAGUUUAAUAGGGUGCAUCCUUAGUUUUCAAUGGAACCACGAAACAUGUAUCUUGAUUUGUGUACAAAUAGAUUUAAUCCAUUUAGGUCAUUUAUUGCACCAUAUUUUAUUGGCCGGUCAUACUAACAAUUUAUAAUUUGGCCCUGGAGAUGUAUAUGAGGCCAAAAUCCAUGUUCUUAUCUACAAUCAUACUUGACCUUACAGUCUAGUUAGAAAUAUAAAUGUUUGUCUUAAAUUAUUGAUUGAUGGGUUUAAAUAGUUAUUGUUAUUUAGAGCUUUGAUAUAUGAUGUCGUAAGGAAAUAUAAUUAUCAAAUGAAGAUAGCUUUGAAGUGGACUAUAAAUAAUUUUCCCGUGUAUGAGAUGGUUUCAAGAUGGAGCACACAUGAAAAAUUAGCAUCUUUAUAUUGUAUGGAAAACAAUAAGACCUUUACCUUAACAAAUGGUGUUAAAACUUCUUUUUUUAUUGCCAUUGAAGGUUCUUGUCAAGUCAUCAUUGAUACAAAAAGGAAAAAAAGACUUCUUAAAAGGUAAAGCUAAAAGGGAUGUUGCACCUCUGGUACUAUUGGGUGAAGAAUUGUAUAAUGUAGUCUCAUAGUAUGAGAACAUUGUAUUUGUUUUUCAAUUCGAUAAAUAAAAGCUUCUUGGUUUUGAUGUGAUUCAUAAUUGAGUAAAGCAAAGUAUUUUUUAGGAGCUUUCUUAUUGAAAAACUAAUGUCAUCUACUAUAAUUUGGAUGUCAUGCAUAUUUAGAAGAAUAUAUUUGAAAAUAUUUUUUAACAAAAUAAUGAACGUCAAAAGGGAAAAAAAUGGACAAUAUCAAAGCUAGAAUGAAUAUAACUUUGUUUUGUGACCGUCAAAAUAUAAAGUUGCUUAAUGAUGAGGUACGUGUGACAAAGCCUAAAACCACCUUUUUCGUAGAUAAAAAACAUGAUUUAUUAUCCAUGAAUGGCUUAAGAGUUUGCGAUUUCCUGAUAGAUAUGCUUUGAACAUAGUUAAAUUAGUGAGUUUAGAGGAAUACAGAUUGUAUGAAAUGAAAAAUCAUGAUUGCCAUGUGUUUAUACAAACACUCAUUCCAAUUGCAUAUAGGGAUUCAUUGCUAAAAAAGAUAUGAUAUGAACUCAUGAAGAUUAAUCAUUUUUUUAGAGAUGUUUGCUCGAACAAGUUACGUUCAUAACUUAUAGAGUAACUUGAAAGGAACAUCAUUAAGACAAUCUAUAAACUUUAGAUAAUCUUUCAUCCUUUUGUUUUACUCAAUAGAGCAUUUGUCUAUACAUUUAGCAUAUGAAGUGAAAGUUGAAUGGCUUGUGCAGUACAAAUAGAUGUAUCCUAUUGAAAUGUUAGAGACUUCAUGCAUUAUACGUGUGUAAUGUGUUUUUUAAAACUUUUGGUCAUUCAAUCUAUACAUAUUUACCUCCAUACAUAUAUUUGUUCAACCUCAAGAAAAAAACUAAAAACAAAAAGUAUGUUGAGGUUUCGAUAUGCGAGACUUAUAUUGUUUAAGAGAUUUCAAUAUUUAUCUCAUAUUAUUUUGAACCACAUGUGAGAAUAAUAUCAAUCGUGUUCCAAGGCAUAAUGAUGGUGGUGGAUUUUCUUCUAGUGUUAAUUUUUCAAUAUUUUUCGAUCCUGAUCGACCAUUGUCGAAGAAUGUAGUUUCGAUAAGAUAUUUGAAAAACAUCGAAUUUAGACAAACAAAUAAUUAUAUGCUAUUUAACUAUGAUGAAUUGAGGCCUUUUGUUUAGUAAGUCAAAUUUACAAUUUUAAUGAAUGAUCAUUUUCUCUUGUAUUUUCAUUUAUGCUAAAUGAUCACUAACUUCUUUAUAGGCAUUAUCGUGAUUUUUUGUUAUUCUAAAAUUUGUAUCUCACUAAAACUCAUUUUCCAAAUACAAGAUGAAAAUUCACCAUAUGGUUUAAAACACAAGUAUGCAAUAAUUUAUAAGUGUAACAAAAAUACAUUGACUUUACUCUCUCAUUUUCAAUUGUUAAUGGUUGUUAUCUUUAAAUAGGUAUACAACAUGAGAAGUAAUGUUGAAAGUUUGAAAUUACUAUCUUGGAUCUUGAAAGAAAGAUCCAAUGUUAUAACAUAUAUUUCAUCAAUGCAUAUGUCUUUCAUACUAAAGAUUAUAAUAUCAGGGUUUAUAUUAAGGGAUCAAAUUCUAAUAAUUUUGAAGUUGAUUAUUAUGGCAAAUUAAAAGAGAUCAUUCAACUGCAAUAUUAUAGGACAUAAAAUUUAGACCUUUUUAUUCAAGUGUUAUUGGUAUGAUACUGAUAGAGAAAUUAGGCUAAAUCCUCAUCAUGGUUUUGUCAAAGUCAACAAAAAAAAUUAGACUUAGGAACAUUAACAAUGUUUUUGUAUUUGCCAAACAAUGCCAACAAGUGUAUCACAAUUACACUCCUUCCUUUAGAAAUGAUCAUAAUAAAAAUAAUCGGUUAUUCAUUAUGAAAACUAAACCUAGGAGUCAUAUCCAAGUUGUUCAUGAUGGUAAUGAGAAAGUAACUAGGGGAGAAGAUAUAUUUCAACUAGAUGAGUUAGUUGAUCUUUAUUGAGUUAUUUCAUCUACUGAGUUAGAAGAAGAUUUAAAUUUUCUUGUAGCGGAGAAUACUUAUGUUCAUUUUGAUCUUGACGAGUUAAAUGAUAUAUUGAGUACAAUUGAAAAUACAGAUGUCAUAACCCAAUUCUGGGUUAUUCCCCCAAAAUUCAUUUUUUUUUUAAAAAAAAUAAAAAUAAAAAAAUAUAAUAAUAAUAAAAGCUGGCAAUGUGGAGAAAGCUGAUCAAGAAAAAUAGGCAAAAUAGGCAAAAAUCAAUCUGCAAUUUUCGGAGGAAAUUCAAGGCCUUUCGGCGCCCCAUUGUGCCCAAAAUCGGAGAAAAAAUGCAAAUGCAAGGUCAAAUUAAAUGAUUAUUGGACAAAUUUGCAUAAAAAUUAAGUCCAAUAACAUAAUUAAAUUUUUAAUAGGCCAAUUUGAUUUAAUCAUGGGCCAAAUUAAAUUUUAAUUAUGUUUAAGAAUUAAUUUAGGUCCAAAUGAAGGAUUUAAUUAAGUGCAAGGACUUAAUUAUACUUUAAAUGGGUCAAAUUAAUUUUAUUUGGGGCUUAAUUGGUGAAAAAUUAAGUUUGGGAGCCUAAUUUGGGCUUGAUGGAGAAUAUUGGAAUUUUAAGAGACCAAAUUUAAUUUUUACCAAGUUAAUUGAUUGAAAUCAGGGGUCAAAUUGCAAGAAAAUUGAAGUUUUGGGGCCAAUUAGGGGUUAAAUUGACAAAAUCCAAAGCCAAGGGCCAAUCUGCAAAAGGCGCCAAACUAUAGGGGUCUAAUUGACAAAAGCCGGGGGUCAAAUUGAAGAAAUUGAAAGAUGGAGGACUCAAUUGAAAAUCGGUAUAAAAAAAAAAAGGGAAGGGACCAGGCGACGCGUCGCCUGGUCACUGUUCAUCUUCUUCCCCACAAAGCUGCCCGAGUAGCAGCUUUCCAGGCGCAUUUUCUACCUCGUUUGGCCUCCAAAUCCGACAACGCGUGCACCAAAAUGUCCACCUAAAACCCCUUUAUCCUCGAGAAGGGUCCGGUCGGGUAGAAAAACUUUGAAACGGCUUCGUUUAUUGGCCCAAAGUGGCCACCUCGUUCAGUCUGCAGCCUUGGAUUGCCAAAUUUGGCAAUUCGAGGUGCACACUUUGAACCAACGGAUGAGAUUCCUCGAGUCGAAUCAAGGGCUGAGACUUUUUCCCGUUGAAGACAAGAUUACCCUCUUUCCAGCCCUAUAAAUAGGAGCCAAUUUCAUGCUCAGGAGGAGGAGAAAAACGAGCUCAAAGUUGGCCGAAAACCAGCCUUUUGUACCCAUUUUUCUGCAAACAAUCACUUUUGCUGCUUUCUCUCUCCACCGUGGCCUUCAGCCACCAUCACCUUCAUCACCUAGCUUCUCACUGUCAUCCCCACCUCCAGUAGCCAUAAAACCAUCUCACGUGACAGUUGCACCACUUCUCUCUCUCUCUCUCCUCUGUAAAAUCUCCUCCUCUGCCACCGGGACUCCAGCAGCGGCGGCAACAGCAGAGCCAGCAGCCACCACCUUGCCCAGAAGUUUUCACUCCUACCAGCAGCAGCUAGAGUAGCAUCUCCUUCCCCCGUCACACCAACAGCUCCAGCCGUGAGCUUUCCUUCUCCUCUGCAGGAAUCUGCUCCUUCUUCUUCCAGCCGUGAACAGUGCAAGCCGCCUGCCUCACCACCUUCAGUUACACCGUGCACCACCAGCUAGGCCGCCGACUCUCUCCACGCCAGGUAACUCGCCCCUCCCCUGCUACGCCUUCCUUUUCCUUUCACCGUGGCUGCAUGCAGAAUUCGUUUCUGCAUGCAGUGGCUAAUUAAUUAGCCACUUGCUUGGGCCGGGCCGGUUCUGGCCCGGCCCGGAAAAAAGAGAGAAGGACAUGUUGGGCCGAGACCGGCCCAACCCAAGGGUCCUGGACCGGACCAACUGUUUGGGCCGGACCGGCCCACAGAUUUAAUAAAUUUAAUUAAUUAUUAUGUAUUAAAAAAAAAUCAAAAAAAAUCAAAACAAAAAAAAAAAUUUCAAAAAUCAUUUCAAAAAAUUUGUGAUUUUCUUAAAUAUUUUCCUACCAAGUUUGCUUAAUAUUGGGUUGUAUACUUACAUGAUAAGAUACAAGUCCGGUAUUAAAAUGCCCGGUUUUCUCAGAAAUAUUCAAAAAAUUUUUAUUGCAUACGGCCAAGUCCUAAAGAAUUUUCCAAGCAUGUUUUCUUUUCAAAAUAAAAAAAUUGCAUCUUUCUCACGUUUUAAAAAUCCAAAAAAAAAUGGAUAUCAUAACUAGUUUAUGAUCAUCUGUUAGGGUUUGGCCAAAAUGUCAAAAACUUUUAUUUCAAUUUUUUUUUAGGAUUCAGAUGUAGACUUUAAUAUUUGUGGGGUGUAAAAUUACACGAUAAAGUACACUCUCGGAUAUUAAAGAUACAAGGUGUAAAUAAAAGCAAUUUUAAAAUUCAGACUUUAGAAUGGUUAGGAUUUAACCCAAUGAGGUAGAGACUCCCUCAUGAAGGGAGAUCUGCCUUGAACCUUAGAAAAGACCAACGAAUAGAACUUCGACCUAGAAAGAAUAAUCAAACAACAAUGCAGCUUACCUUAGGUAGGGUGCACUAGGGGUGAUGCGUCUUCCCCUUGCACAACCAGUCCCUUACUCAGACUCUCGCUGAGUUAUUUCAUCUACUGAGUUAGAAGAAGAUUUAAAUUUUCUUGUAGCGGAGAAUACUUAUGUUCAUUUUGAUCUUGCGAACGCCGCGCUGAUUUUUUGACGUGCGACAACAGAAGUUGAUAAAGAUGAAAUAAUCGAACAAUUUAAGUUCAACAAAGAAGAUGAUGGACAUGAAGAUGAUAGAGAUUUAGACUAAAUAGUGGAUCUGAACUGAUUUUAGUUGUAAAACAUCAUUAUGCAAUAACAUAUUUAUUGUCAUUGUAUAAUGCGUUGUACUUUUUACAUUUAUCAAACAUUUAUUAUUGUUGUUGUUAAAUAAGUUAUGAAUACACCUGUUAUUACUGCUUAAUUAGAUUUGAUAGGGAUUAUAUCCAAUAUAUAUAUAAAAAUAAAUUACAAUAAAUUUACUGAUGGAAUCACUAAUAAAUAACAUUAAUAAAUUAUUAACUAACUAUCAUUUAAUAAAUCUUCAAAUAUAACUUCAUUGAUGGACUCAUCGGUAAACAAUAAAUUCAUCGAAGAAUUACAGAGAGUUUAGGGAAGGAUUCAACAAUUUUAAUUUAUCGACAGAUCUACCAAUAUAAGUUAAUAACUUUGGAGAAUUACAAAGAGUUUGGGUAAGAAUUUAGAAAGUUUAAUUUACCAAUGAAAGUUAAAAACAUCAGAGAAUUAUAGAGAGCUUGGGCAAGAAUUCAAAUGGUUUACUUCACUAACAGAUUUAUCAACAAAUGAAAAUUCAUUGGUGAAUUUAGGGAUGUUCAAAAGAAUUUUGAAUUUUUUUUAAAUUACUUAUGAAUUUACUUACGACUUUAAACUCUUAUAUCAGUUAACCUGUUAGUGAUGUGGUGACAUGGUUAAUGAUCAAAGGACUCACCGAUAAAAUUUUUUAUUAGUAAUGUUUAAACCUAGAUAUAUCAAGGCAAUCCUUAACUUUUCCUCAUUUCCCUUACAAUCUCAUCUUUCUCCCCUUCUAUCCCCUCUCUCUCUCUCUCUCUCUCUCUCUCUCAAUAUGUAUUACUUUUCCUUUUUUAUUUAUUUCACUUCAUAAUUUUCUUGAAGAUUCUUGAUUAUUAAAGUUUAGGUAUUUUCUUGUUUUUAAGCAUUUUAGUUUCAUGAUUUUGUUUAUGUGAUCUUUACAGUGGUAUGACACUCACAGAUUGACUUCAAAACGCUCUCUUAUUAUCUCAUGAUAUUAAAUGAUGAUACAUAGGAUGAGAAUGGAACUUGUUAAAUUUAAAUGGUAACAUAACUUAAUUUAUUUAAUUUUUUAUUGCAUGGAAAAAAGUAGUUGGUGUUACUUUAAUUGAGCAUUUUUAUUAUUAAAAUUUCAUUGAACAUUAUGGUACAUGGAUGCCAUCCUUUUUUCUAGAUGUACUAAUUUAUAUGGUGGUAAUCUUACAAUCAUCUUGAAAAUGUGUAAACAUUAUUGGUUCCCCAGUUAAUACUUUAGACUCUGCCUUUUUUCUAUAUAAAAAAAGGUGACUAUUGAUGUAGAAAUGGGUUCUUAUGAUGCUAUUGUUUCUAAAUCACUUGUGUGCUCAAUGGAUUGUGUUAUCAUUUUCUUUGUUUUCAGUACUUUUGAUUCAUGUUUUUAAAAUAUUCGGUUUGUGGGUGAUAAUUUGGUUUGUUGUAUUCAGUUGUUAGUAUUUUUUUUUUCAAAUUUAGGUAAGGCUCCGUGUAGGGGGUGCUGCCAAAAUUUAUUUUAAAUGGAUAGAUGGGCUAAAAAAAAAAUUAUAAAUCAUAGAUUGAAAAUUUAAUUGAUUAUUCUUAAUUAUUUAGUUAUAUUGUUUAGAUGCCGAUGAAAAGUUUAUGGUUGAAAUGGAGCGGUUUUGCAUUGUCAAGCAAUGGUGUUCCCAAGCCUGCAAUGCAUUUAGGUGUCGAUUAUGAAGGCACCAAAUGCAUAUCCUAACUACGCAAGCUCUUUAAAUAUGGAUCGCAGAUCUGGCGUCCUAUCUGGUAGAGAUCCUUAUUCUUACAAGUUAAUAAUGUAAUGCAAGCCCGAUUUAAGCAUGCAAGAAAAAUUUAAAUAUAACAUUAAACUAAUGAUUAUGUGUUAAUAUAAUCAACCGUUAAUUAAUUGAUUUUUAGGUUUACAAAUAUAAAAGAUGUGUAAAUGAUUACAUUGAUGAUGAAAGUGCUCUUGUUUCAUUGGGCCAGCUUAAAGAGCAUCCUGAAUGGAUUCCCGUGGUUGAGGCUUGGUGGAGGAAGUUUAAGGUUAGUACAUAUAUAAUCAUGUCACAACUAUGUAAGUUUUAAUGUGUGAAGUAAUAUUUUUUUGAUAAAUUAUAACUGUUGUCCAUUAUAUAUUUUUAUUUAAUAAAUUUCUGAACUAGGUUAUGUGAUUUCCAAUAUGAUGCGCACACUUAUGUUAGGAGAUAUGCAUAUUCAAAUGACUUUGAGAAGUGGAAGACUUGUAGACCUUCCCUUAUCAAUAAGAGUAAAUGGGAGAGAUAUUUAGAGUUCUUCAUGCAGGAGGGUUUUAAGCAUAGUUAUUAAACCCGAACCGGCCUGACGGGUUGACCCGGGACCCAGUCAUCCUGGUGGAUGAAUCAGUUCAGGUAAGGUGAAAGACCGGCACGAGCAAAAACCUGGCAAAACCUAGUUGACCUGCCAGGUUGACUCAUGACCCCGAUGACCCGACAAAACCAGGUAAAAACUUUUUUUUUUCAAAUGUGUUUUUUGUCUUAGCCAAAGACCUCUUUUUUUAUAUUUUUUUGUUGGUUAUUAACCCUUUUCAAAGUUCAAUAUAUAAAUACUAGAAGAAUGCUUUAUUUUUUCAAUUUGAGAUUUGAAACCUUUUAGUAUAUAUACUAUAUGUUCACAACAAAAAAGUUAUGUUUUUUCAAUAUAGAUUAAAAACUUUUUGGUUUAAAUACUUCAACUUAAAAGGAUAACAUAGUAUCUUUUCAAUGCGGGAUAAAAAACCUUUUGAAAUAAUCUUUUAAACUUCAUUAUUUACAACAUAUAUAACCUACAUUCACAUUAUUUACAACAUAUAUAACUUACAUUCACAUGAAUUGUUUCUUAAUUUUUUCAUAUGAAAUAUUAAAACUUCAAAUAUAUAUAUAUUUUAAUUUUUCCAGGUUCUGUAACUUGGGACCUGGCUCCUUAGCCUGGUCGACCCCUGAAUUGAGUUUGAUAACUAUAAUUUUAAGAGGCGUUCAUGGAGUAGGUCCUUAAACAGAAACAAAAAAACUCAUGGUCUCAUUAACGAGUAUACUAUAAGGUCUCUUUCUUUUAAUAACAUGCAAGAUAUUUGGUAGGAGAGUCUAUUUUAAUUUUAAGUAUUUUUUUUAAAAUGAUAAUUAUUAUUUGUGAUAAGGUUUAAUUAUUGACUUAAUUUGUAAGCUAUAUAUAUUGGACGCGAACCAACUCCUAGAAACACAUAUAUAAAAGGAGGAUUAAAAAAAAAAAGUAACAGUUCAUGAACAAUUGAGGAGUGGAGACGUUUAUUUAUUAUAACUAAACUUUUAAACCUCUUGAUAAUUUUCAUAAAAUAAAAUAAAAUUAUAGAGAGUUAUUAAAUAUUUUGAUAUAGAUUGAUAGAAUCACCCAUAUAACAUAGAACAUAAUUGUCGAUUAUUCUAUUGGGUAUUCAUUGAAAGGACGCGAUACAUUAUCAAUGAGUUACCUAUCAGAAGUCCGUCGAAAAUAUUUUUUGAUUGAUAUACUGACAAAAAUUGAUUGUCGUAUAUUUUCAUCACCGAUAAAAAUUUUCAUGGACGAGAUGGUUACUACAGUAAAUCCAUCGAAUAUACUUUUACUGACAAAUAAAUAGCUGCUUUUACACCGACAGAAUACUUGGUCAGUAUAAUUCAAUUUCAUGGUGGUGUCCUGGCUCCUAAAGACUUUCAGCUUUGUUUCGGUUGAAACAUGAAAGAAGUCCAAGCACAACUUGUUAAUAUGCUACAAAUUACAUGUUAUUCUCAAGCCCUACGUGGAGGAUGACAACCAUAAAUUGUACCUUAAAGUAGUGUGAGAUCAUCCAUAUGACAUCACUAUGACAAUAAUAGAUUAAUUGCCGCUGUGAUAGAUUAUUGCUAGAACAUAGAACAAGUAAUGAAGGAAAACAAACGACAAAGACAUUAGUUUUGUAAGGUGUUAAUUAAAUAUAGGCCAUUCUUACAAAAAAGAAGAAGAAGUCAGGCAGGCCACCUAUAGGAAACUCCACCAAAAUGACAAUAUGAUUAUGUCAUGGUGCUUGCAUCACCUUUAUGCGGUAUGCAACACAGCAUCAUGACGUUAUUGCCAUUAUUCUUCUCUAUCCGUAGUAUCCACUCCAACUACAACCUAUCUUUCCAGAAUAAAACAGAGGACUAUUGUGGUUUUCAGUUGCUUUUGCCAGAAUUCAAAUCAAAAUUUUAUUAGGCCUUAAUGAUGAGGUAAUUUUUAAAUCAGCUUUUGUACAUUGAAACUAAAGUUCGCACCAAUCGAGUCUUAAACAAUUGUUUAUGUAUGGGUAGAUGCUUUCACAUUCAAAUCAAACAUGAAAAGCCAAGCCCAUUUCUGUAAAAUACUUCGUGAUACAGGCAUAUGGUGAGUCUCUACAUAGAGUCAGCUAACACGGUCUCUAGAGUGGUUAUAGUGCAAGUGUGGUAUGUGGUUUGGUUUAACCCAUCAAACAUUAUACAAUAAGAGACACUCUAUGGUCUACUGCUUAUGAUUCUCUCUUUGAUAUUUGUUUUUGUUGGGGGAAAUAGCUAGCUAGCUUGGCAUGGAGAGGGAAGCAAAGAAGAGGAAGAUGGAGUAUGUUGAAGAAGAAGAAAAGGGAAAGGAAGAUGAUGAUGAUGAAGAAGAGGAAGAGAAGAUGGAG
rnacentral:lncRNA from 1 species